rnacentral:rRNA from 1 species
GACGAACGCUGGCGGCGUGCUUAACACAUGCGAGUCGAACGGAAAGGCCCUGCUUUUGUGGGGUGCUCGAGUGGCGAACGGGUGAGUAACACGUGAGUAACCUGCCCUUGACUUUGGGAUAACUUCAGGAAACUGGGGCUAAUACCGGAUAGGAGCUCCUGCUGCAUGGUGGGGGUUGGAAAGUUUCGGCGGUUGGGGAUGGACUCGCGGCUUAUCAGCUUGUUGGUGGGGUAGUGGCUUACCAAGGCUUUGACGGGUAGCCGGCCUGAGAGGGUGACCGGCCACAUUGGGACUGAGAUACGGCCCAGACUCCUACGGGAGGCAGCAGUGGGGAAUAUUGCACAAUGGGCGGAAGCCUGAUGCAGCAACGCCGCGUGCGGGAUGACGGCCUUCGGGUUGUAAACCGCUUUCGCUUGUGACGAAGCGUGAGUGACGGUAAUGGGUAAAGAAGCACCGGCUAACUACGUG